rnacentral:rRNA from 1 species
AUUGAACGCUGACGGCAGGCUUAACACAUGCGAGUCGAGCGGAGAUGAGGUGCUUGCACCUUAUCUUAGCGGCGGACGGGUGAGUAAUGCUUAGGAAUCUGCCUAUUAGUGGGGGACAACAUUCCGAAAGGAAUGCUAAUACCGCAUACGCCCUACGGGGGAAAGCAGGGGAUCUUCGGACCUUGCGCUAAUAGAUGAGCCUAAGUCGGAUUAGCGAGUUGGUGGGGUAAAGGCCUACCAAGGCGACGAUCUGUAGCGGGUCUGAGAGGAUGGUCCGCCACACUGGGACUGAGACACGGCCCAGACUCCUACGGGAGGCAGCAGUGGGGAAUAUGGGACAAUGGGCGGAAGCCUGAUCCAGCCAUGCCGCGUGCGUGAAGAAGGCCUUUUGGUUGUAAAGCACUUUAAGCGAGGAGGAGGCUACCUGGAUUAAUACUCUAGGAUAGUGGACGUUACUCGCAGAAUAAGCACCGGCUAACUCUGUGCCAGCCGCCGCCGUAACAC